rnacentral:rRNA from 1 species
CAAUAGCGUAUAUUAAAGUUGUUGCAGUUAAAAAGCUCGUAGUUGGAUUUCUGGUUGAAGCGACCGGUCGGGCGUUGAUUCGUCUGCACUGGAGUCGGUUUUGGCCAUCCUCUAGGAAAGUGCGUCUGGUAUUAAGUUAUCGGGCGUAUGAUCCUGGUCUUUUACUGUGAAAAAAUUAGAGUGUUUAAAGCAGGCCUUCGCCUUGAAUACAUUAGCAUGGAAUAAUAAGAUAGGACUUUGGUCUAUUUUGUUGGUUUGCAGACCGAAGUAAUGAUUAAUAGGGAUAGUUGGGGGUAUUUAUAUUCCGAUGUCAGAGGUGAAAUUCUUGGAUUUUCGGAAGAUAAACUUAUGCGAAAGCAUUUACCAAGGAUGUUUUCAUUAA